UACGUAGGGUGCGAGCGUUGUCCGGAAUUAUUGGGCGUAAAGAGCUCGUAGGCGGUUUGUCGCGUCGACUGUGAAAACCUACAGCUUAACUGUGGGCUUGCAGUCGAUACGGGCAGACUUGAGUUCGGUAGGGGAGACUGGAAUUCCUGGUGUAGCGGUGAAAUGCGCAGAUAUCAGGAGGAACACCGGUGGCGAAGGCGGUGGGCUGGGCCGGCACUGACGCUGAGGAGCGAAAGCGUGGGGAGCGAACAGG
rnacentral:rRNA from 1 species